AGGACCCUUAGGAACUAGGGGGUGCUUCCAUCUGGAAGAAUCUGGAGACAGGUGCUGCAUGGCUGUCGUCAGCUCGUGUCGUGAGACUGUUGGGUUAAGUCCCGCAACGAGCGCAACCCUUGCCUUUAGUUGCCAGCAGUUCGGCUGGGCACUCUAAAGGGACUGCCGGGUGUUAAACCGGAGGAAGGUGGGGAUGACGUCAAGUCCUCAUGGCCUUUAUGACCAGGGCUACACACGUACUACAAUGGCCGAUACAAAGGGCAGCGACACUGCGAGGUGAAGCCAAUCCCGUAAAUCGGUCUCAGUCCGGAUUGGAGUCUGCAACUCGACUCCAUGAAGUUGGAAUCGCUAGUAAUCGUGGAUCAGCAUGCCACGGUGAAUACGUUCCCGGGCCUU
rnacentral:rRNA from 1 species